GCUAUUUUGCCCUCUGGUCCCAAUGCCUGAUGGGUUCCCCUGGGAUAUUUUGCCCAGGGCUCGUUCCGGGGGACAGGUCGCGUGCUGAACCUUUUGGAUCCUGAGCGGACGUACCUGGAGAACCCUGGGGAUGGGAGAGCUAAGGCCCCGGGGGACCCAUCGACUCCCUUCGAGCAAGUGCGGAGCCCGGCGGAGCGUCCCGGACACCGCGUCCGGCUCCCCACUCCACGGGCCGAAUCAGCUGCCGUCUGCGCCCCCGCGCGCCGCCCCCGGGGAGGUGCGUUAAUCACAAGUGAGUGCGACCUUGCAGCUGUGAUAAAUGCUAUAGAGAAGAAGCACAUUUUGCCGUGAGAGAGAUGUCACCUGACCAGGAUGGUCAGGGAGACGUUUUCUUCUGAGGAGAGCUGAGAGCUAAACAAUGACUUUGAGUUUUGGUUGGAGACUUCUGGAAAGGGCACAGGUCAGUGGGCUGCAAUCUCUAACCAAGAACCUUACAAGGGUCUCAGCUAACGUGUCAGCUGACCCCACGCAUGGUCAGCUUUUCUUGCUUACUUGUACUGUCUGUUUCAGGGAAAAGCAGCCAGAAAAUGGAGAACACAGAUGCCCAGCCACACCCUACAGAAAGACAGGGUGUGACAUUCCCAGGUCCAGUCCCAGCUGGUAUGAGGCUGUCCCCUGAGCCAUAAGAUGGCUGCAAACUUGGGUGCCCUGGACCUCCCCAUCCCCCAGAACUGGAAAGCCUCCUGAUAAAAGAUGCCACCAGGAGGCAGGAAUCUAACCUGCAAAUCCAUGAUCCUGGUCCUGAAACACUGUUGUCAGGUCAUCAUACCCCUCUGCCAUGAGGAGCUCGCUGGGCCGGGGAGGCCCUUAGCCACAUAUGGGGACUGUGCCAUCAGUGGCUAUGGCCAGAGAUGCCCCCAAGGAGCAGAUCCUGGAGCUCCUAGAGCUGGAGCUCUCCUGACCAUCCUGUCCGAGAUCCACACUGGGUUCACUUGAGGACUCAGAGGGUGACAAGAGGCAGUAACUGAUGGAGGAUUUGUGGAGAGCCCAGGAAACCAGGAUACUGGGAUGAGAAGGGCCAGAGGAGACCCAGUGAGUGAACACGAGAUAGGUGAUAAGCUCCUCUCCUUGGAAGAAGCAGGCAGAGGGGAUACCCUGAGCAUAUGUUAGCCCUCUGCAACAGGUAGAAUGUGGGCAAUCUUGGUUCUUCUUCCAGCAAUACGCUGUAAUUUUGAAAAGGUUUGGGAAGAGGAGUGUGGGGAAGUCAGAGGCAGAGUUGAUCACCCUCCCAGUUUUGCUGUGAGCCAGCCUUGCCUGAGGCAGCCCUGCCCACGGGUCUGCACUUCCAGUGGUGGCUGGACCAGACCUAUGAGAGCCACUCCAAAGGAGGACCAGGCCUCUUGAGGGGCGAGGCAUUUACUCCCACUGGAGCCUUUGCCUUAGAGUGCUGGGGCACUGGCUACGCUGGAGGCACAUAACUCUGAUCCUCUCACUUAAACCUUAUAAAGUUGAAGAAACAGAUUUGAAAGGGGAACUAGAGCCAGGAUUGGAUCUAGGUCUGUCCAAAGCCAAUGUUCAUGCGCACUUGGUGCUAUGGUCUGAAUGUUUCUGCCCGCCUCCAUCAGUUCAUAUGUUGAAAUCCUAACCCCCAAAGAUGAUGGUAUUAGGAGGUAGGGGCUUUCAGAGGCGCUUAGGUCAUGAAGGCAGAGCCCUCAUUAGUGGGACUUAGUGCCCUUAUAAACAAGACCCCAGAGAGCUCCCUCACCGCUUCCACCUUGAGAGGACACAGUGAGAAUAUGGCAGCUGUGAACCAGGAAGAGGCCUCUCACCAGAACGCGACCUGACCAUGCUGGCACCUUGAUUUCAGACUUCCAGCCUCCAGAACUGUGAGAAAUAAAUGUCUGUUGUUUGUAAGCCACCAAGUCUGUGAUAAUUUUGUUAUAGCAGCCUGAACAGACCAAAACACUUGGCUAUGCUGAACUGUCUCCCGACGCUCCUUUCUUAAAGUUUUUCAAAAGGUAAAACAAGUGCCUUAAAACUUUUCCUCAGGACAUUGUCUUUGGCUUGAAGCCCUCAUGCUACAUGUGAAAUAUACUUCUCUGCAGUGUCACUUCCUGGGUUCUGCCUUUUCCUAAUACUGUGUCACUCUCAAUCUGUCAGCUCAGGCCUUCCCUCCCGCUGAUGAAAGCACACUGCUCCUGUCCUCUCCUGGCAAGGCUGAGUCCUCAGUAUAGGUGUCCCCCACUUCACACACAGACAUGUCCACGUCCCUAUGCCUGUGUCCUCACACCUCCCAGUGGGGUCCAGGUAAGCCCUAAUUUGUAACCUUCAUCUUUGGAUGUUCUGCCUUCUGCUUCUGUUGGGGGCACCCUCCUCUGCCACCCUGGUCUCUCUCCUUGUCUCUAACCCUCUGCUCCAUCUUCUAGAGCAAGACCUUGACCUCUGCCCCCAUUCUUGCUUGCAGGUACUCCAGGAAGACUAAUGUAUAGCCCCACUCACAAGAUUUUUGUUGCCUUCUGGCAAACUUUUCACUGGGUUCUUGAAAAUUAUGUAUUUGCAAAAAGUAAGGAGUACGGUAUUCACAAUAGCCAAAAGAUGGAAACAACCCCAAUGUCUAUUGGCAGAUGGAUGGAUAAACAGACCACUCUAUCCAUACACUGGAAUGUUAUUGAGCCUUAAAAAAGGAGUGAAAUUCUGACACAUGCUACAACAUGGAUGAGCCUUGAGGACAUUAUGUUCAGUGAAAUAAGCCAGUGACGAAAAGACAAAUUCUGUAUAAUUCCACUUAUAUGAGGCCCCUAGCGUAGACAAAUUCACAGAGACAGAGAAGUAGAAGGGUGGGC
rnacentral:lncRNA from 1 species